rnacentral:rRNA from 1 species
AAAUUGAAGAGUUUGAUCAUGGCUCAGAUUGAACGCUGGCGGCAGGCCUAACACAUGCAAGUCGAACGGUAACAGGAAUCAGCUUGCUGAUUCGCUGACGAGUGGCGGACGGGUGAGUAAUGUCUGGGAAACUGCCUGAUGGAGGGGGAUAACUACUGGAAACGGUAGCUAAUACCGCAUAACGUCGCAAGACCAAAGAGGGGGA